ACAUAGAGUGGAGCAGCUUCCAGACUUCCCCCAAAUGACCCCAGCAAUGAGCUCUGCAUGAAUAUUUUGUACCUUUUUUCUUUGCUAUACAUAUAUCCCUUUAAUGAAUGGUGGUGGUAUGACACAGCUGUUGCCAAUCAAGUCAAUUUAGACUGUGAGAGUCUCAGACACUCUUUCUGAGCAAUGUGAAGAUGCCAGCCUUGUUGAAGACUCAAAGAGGAUUUCUGAAUGCAUGAAUUUACACAAUAAUUCUCAAGGGGAAAGAAUGGGAAGGGAAGAGGAAAAUAAGCCAACUCAGGAAACACAUAUGUGUGAAUAAGAAGACUGCUUUGUCUCUAGGAAAAGCUGUUUUGACCUGAGUAAACCUGCGUCAAGUUGGUGGGGAAAGAACUUUGAUAAUGUUUAUGGGUAAGGCAACAGAAGUGGAGUCCACCUAUCAGUAGGGACAGAUUUCUCAGAUCUACGAAAAGGUGCUUAUUUUAUCCUUUCAUCUGGCCUUUCUAGAGGACUGGAAGAGGACAAUUGAUAUUGCAAAAGGCUCAGCAGGAAAAUUACCGAAGACUUUCUUAAUGCCACCACUUUAUCAUCACAGCCUCACAUAGAAAAGAAAGCAGAAAAUUGGAACAUCGAGAAGAAUGGCUGACACCCAACUGUUAAAAAAGUAUCCCUUGUUGAGGGAGGAGGGAAAAUAUUAAAAGACAAGUGCCACUUUUUGUGAGCGAAAAAGCAGAACAUGAUUCAGCUGUGGCCAAGUGCAGCCAAAGAGAAUGGAGAGAUUUCUAAACAAUCUUUUAUGAGGAGUCUGUGCAGGACAAACAUUGGUUUUAAGUUAAUGGUGGGCAAGAGAACAGUGAAAUGAAGGAUGUUAGUCUCUGCUGUGCAAGCAUUUUCUCACAAAAUCUGUACCAAAAUGGUCUGAAGUUUUAAAGUCAGAUUCCAUUGAAAAAACAGCCUAAACCUGAGUAGUCCAUUAGAGUGAAUUAAGGAUGGGUCAAUGUUCCCUGUUUACAUUAAUGUUUUUGUCAAUGUCUUUUGUUCUCCACAUGUUGUUGGUUUGGCAGAAACCUUUGCAUUAUCUUCACAUGUUGUGCGCACAAACAUACUAUAUACAGUACAUAGAUUGCACAUCACUCUAUAUGAAUGCAGCUGAUGUACUGAUAUCCCAAUCAUGUUAAAAUGCAUAUAUUUUACAAAAAAGAAUUUAGUGUGAGAUAACAGAAAAUGGCACAAAAAUGAGAAAGUAGGGUACAAAUUGUGCAAGACAGAUGAAAUAAAUAUGUUGUGGGUCAAAAGAGCAGGGAUGUGAAAAUAGAUAUUAUCCUUAAAGUGGGAUAGUUUUCAUCUAAAAUAUAUUUGGAUGACUUUUUGAUUGAAAAUGUUUUUUUUAAAAAAAAUAGACAAUAUAUAACUAUCAUCACAUUCCAUAGGUUUGUCUGAUUAACAAUAGAAUGGAGUUGAAACUAUUGCUGGGAUAUCAAGAAUACCUCUGUUCUUCCCUAUGUCAGAUAGACCACCAUGCAUUUUGACUCUUUUUUAAUGAAUGAAUUUAAAAACUGAAUAAGAACAAUGAAAAUUAAGAAGGAUAAAUAAUGCUAAGAGCUUGCCAUAACUUACAUAAAACAUUGCUCCUUGUAGGAGGGAGGCUUUGUUUGGUAUGUUUUAAUUUGAUAUGAGAAAAAUAUUUCAUUUUUUAAAAACCCCACUGCCUUCUAACAUUCUGAAAUUCACAGUACAUGUUUCAUGUCUGAAUUAUCUUUUUUAUUAAACAACAACAAAAACCCAUCAUAUAAAAACUUAA